rnacentral:rRNA from 1 species
UACAGAGGAUGCAAGCGUUAUCCGGAAUGAUUGGGCGUAAAGCGCGCGUAGGUGGUUUGUUAAGUUGGAUGUGAAAUCCGGCAGCUCAACUGUCGAACUGCCAUUGAUACUGUAGAACUUGAAUUAUUGUGAAGUAACUAGAAUAUGUAGUGUAGCGGUGAAAUGCUUAGAUAUUACAUGGAAUACCAAUUGCGAAGGCAGGUUACUAACAAUACAUUGACGCUGAUGGACGAAAGCGUGGGGAGCGAACAGG